ensembl:lncRNA
CAAGAAGUUAGAUUGCUGCCCAAAUAAAUGCUUCACAAAGUUCAAGCAACAGACAUGUCUACUGUUCAGAUAAGACUGUGUGAAUCAGGCCUUCAUGGUUGAUGUUCUACAAAUAAACCACUACUGAAGAACACAAAUAAGAAGGAAGUGACUUGCUUGGGCCAAGAAACAUGAGAAAUGGACAUUAGACCAGGUGAAAUCUGUCAUUGGGUAAGAGUCCAAAUUUGAUAUUUUGAAUUCCAUCCGUUGUGUCUGUGUGAGACACAGAGUGGGAUGAACAGAUGAUCUCCAUAUGUGUGGUUCCCACCGUGAAGCAUGGAGGAGGUGUGACGGUAUGGAAGAGGUGGUGUGACGGUAUGGAAGAGGUGGUGUGACGGUAUGGAGGAGGUGGUGUGACGUUAUGGUGGAGGUGGUGUGACGGUAUGGUGGAGGUGGUGACGGUAUGGUGGAGGUGGUGUGACGGUAUGGAGGUGGUGUGACGGUAUGGAGGAGGUGGUGUGACGGUAUGUGGGUAUUUUGCUGGUAACACUGAUUUAUUUAGAACUCAAGGCACACUCAACCAGCAUGGCUACCACAGUAUUCUGCAAUGAUACGCCAUCCCCUCUGGUUUGCUCUUAAUGGGACUAUCAUUUCAGUUUUUGAACAGGACAAUGACACAAAACAACUCCAGGGUGUGCAAAGGCUAUUUGACCAAGGACAGUGAUGGAGUGCUGCAUCAGAUGACCUGGCCUCCACAAUCAUCUGACCUCAAACCAAUUGAGAUAGUUUUUAAUUAGUUGGACAGCAGAGUGAAGGAAAAGCUACCAACAUGUCUUCAGCAUAUUUGGAAACUCCUUCAAAACUGCUGGAAACUAAUCCAGGAGACUACCUGGUCGAGAGAAUGCCAAAAGUGGGCAAAACUGUCCAAAGUGUGUCAAAAGUGUG